rnacentral:lncRNA from 1 species
UUAGGAUUUGGUUUAGGAUUUAGAAUUAGGGUUAGGAUUUGGUUAGGAUUUGGUUAGGAUUUGAUUUAAGAUUAGGGUUUGGUUUAGGAUUUAGGAUUUGAUCAGGGUUUGAUUUAGGGUUAAGAUUUGCUUAAGAUUUGGUUUAGGAUUUGAUUUAGGAUUUAAGAUUUGAUUUGGAAUUGGUUAGGAUUUGAUUUAGGAUUAGGAUUUGGUUAGGAUUUGGUUAGGAUUUGAUUUAUGAUUUAUGAUUUAAGAUUUGAUUUAAGAUUUAAGGUUUGGUUUAGGAUUUAAGGUUUGGUUAGGAUUUUAUAAGGAUUUGAUUUAGGAUUUAGGGUUUUAUUUGAGUUUGUUUAGGAUUUAAGAUUUAGUUAGUUUUUGGCCUAAAUUUUGAAUGAAGUCCAAUAAAAUUUCAACUAGAAUUAAAUUAAGAUUGAAUUGAGAUAUAUUUGAGAUAUGUUUGUAAUUAUUCUAAUAUUUCUUUAAGAUUUUUUAUUUUUUCUUUGGAAUUCCUUUGAAGUUUCUCUAAAUUUGAUUAAAGCUUGUUUAGCAUUUUUAGUUUUCUAUUAGAAUUAGGAUUUUGUUUUUACAAUUUCUAUUCUAUCUUUGACAGUCAAGUGCUCGGAGCAUUCUCAAGUAAGACUUCACGUAUUAUGACACCGACCUUGAUGAAUACGUUUCAAAAAACUUUGAAGUUGCUGCCAUUACAUGACUUAUUCUUCUCAAGCCAAGUCUUUGUGCUUAAUGCCUUUCAAAUAAUCAAUUGUUGCAUGUAAUGGCUUGAAUAAUAAAUUAUUUCAAAGAUUUUAUUUUCAGCAUUGUUAAUAACAAAUCU